rnacentral:rRNA from 1 species
UAGCGGCGAACGGGUGAGUAACACGUAAAGAACCUGCCUCAUAGACUGGGACAACUAUUGGAAACGAUAGCUAAUACCGGAUAACAGCAUUAACUGCAUGGUUGAUGUUUAAAAGUUGGUUUUGCUAACACUAUGAGAUGGCUUUGCGGUGCAUUAGCUAGUUGGUGGGGUAAAGGCCUACCAAGGCGACGAUACAUAGCCGACCUGAGAGGGUAAUCGGCCACACUGGGACUGAGACACGGCCCAGACUCCUACGGGAGGCAGCAGUAGGGAAUCUUCCGCAAUGGGCGAAAGCCUGACGGAGCAACGCCGCGUGAGUGAAGAAGGAUUUCGGUUCGUAAAGCUCUGUUGUUAGGGAAGAAUGAUUGUGUAGUAACUAUACACAGUAGAGACGGUACCUAACCAGAAAGCCACGGCUAACUACGUGCCAGCAGCCGCGGUAAUACGUAGGUGGCAAGCGUUGUCCGGAAUUAUUGGGCGUAAAGCGCGCGCAGGUGGUUUAAUAAGUCUGAUGUGAAAGCCCACGGCUCAACCGUGGAGGGUCAUUGGAAACUGUUAAACUUGAGUGCAGGAGAGAAAAGUGGAAUUCCUAGUGUAGCGGUGAAAUGCGUAGAGAUUAGGAGGAACACCAGUGGCGAAGGCGGCUUUUUGGCCUG